GACGUAGGAUGCGAGCGUUGUCCGGAUUUAUUGGGCGUAAAGAGUUCGUAGGUGGUUUGUUAAGUCUGAUGUUAAAGACUGAGGCUCAACCUCGGAAAUGCAUUGGAUACUGGCAGACUGGAGUGCAGUAGAGGCAAGUGGAAUUCCCAGUGUAGCGGUGAAAUGCGUAGAUAUUGGGAAGAACACCAGUGGCGUAAGCGACUUGCUGGGCUGUAACUGACACUGAGGAGCGAAAGCCAGGGGAGCGAAUGGG
rnacentral:rRNA from 1 species